rnacentral:rRNA from 1 species
AGCGAACGCUGGCGGCAGGCCUAACACAUGCAAGUCGAACGAACCUUUCGGGGUUAGUGGCGGACGGGUGAGUAACACGUGGGAACGUGCCUUUAAGUUCGGAAUAACUCAGGGAAACUUGUGCUAAUACCGAAUGUGCCCUUCGGGGGAAAGAUUUAUCGCCUUUAGAGCGGCCCGCGUCUGAUUAGCUAGUUGGUUGAGGUAAUGGCUCACCAAGGCGACGAUCAGUAGCUGGUCUGAGAGGAUGAUCAGCCACAUUGGGACUGAGACACAGCCCAAACUCCUACGGGAGGCAGCAGUGGGGAAUCUUGCGCAAUGGGCGAAAGCCUGACGCAGCCAUGCCGCGUGAAUGAUGAAGGUCUUAGGAUUGUAAAAUUCUUUCACCGGGGACGAUAAUGACGGUACCCGGAGAAGAAGCCCCGGCUAACUUCGUG